UACAGAGGCCUCGAGCGUUAGGCGGAAUCACUGGGCUUAAAGCGUGUGUAGGCGGACUUCUAAGUACCUUGUGAAAUCCCACGGCUCAACCGUGGAACUGCUGGGCAUACUGGACAUCUCGAGGCACUCAGGGGCGAGCGGAACAAGUGGUGGAGCGGUGAAAUGCGUAGAUAUCACUUGGAACGCCAAUGGUGAAGACAGCUCACUAAAUUGUAACUGACGCUGAGGCACGAAAGCGUGGGGAUCAAACAGG
rnacentral:rRNA from 1 species